UCUGAUUUCCACCUCGAGAGCGAGCAGAAAAACACGCAGGAUGACAUGGGUACGAGCCAGUAAUAAUAAUGUAAGCUGAUCCUCCGUGUGAGAGAGAUCUGCCUGAGGCCUGAUCACGUUUACGGAGAACAGGCGUCUGGUUGGUCACGUGACUCACGUUCACCUCUGGUGUCAGGGCCAAUCAGGGGUCAGCGAGCGCAGACAAUGGCAGGUCUCCCCUCAGACUCGACCGUGUCUCUGCGUCAGCAGAAAAACACAAGAUGUUUGCUGGAGAGGCGCUGAAGAGCCAGCAGUCAGCAGAAAAACAAGGGCCGGCGGCCAACCAGACAGAUGGAGGCUUACAGAGGUCCACAGAGCCAACGCUUCACUCAAACUCACACAUAGAAGAGCGUUUGUAAGAUUGUAAAGACAGAAAUACACUGACCUGUGGUGACCACACAAAGACAGCAAUUAACAGCCUGUUAAUGAUGAGUAAUGUCCAUCUCACUAGCUAUUUCUGUGCAGAAUAGUCCACUUUUAUCCUCACCAAAGCUGUUUUAAAUCAAAAAAAUGUAUUUAUAAUCAA